GACGAACCGUGCGAACGUUGUUCGGAUUCACUGGGCUUAAAGGGCGCGUAGGCGGGCGACCAAGUCAGGGGUGAAAUCUUUCGGCUCAACCGGAAAACUGCCCCUGAUACUGGCCGUCUUGAGGGAGGUAGGGGUCUGUGGAACUUCUGGUGGAGCGGUGAAAUGCGUAGAUAUCAGAAGGAACGCCGGUGGCGAAAGCGACGGACUGGACCUUCUCUGACGAUGAGGCGCGAAAGCUAGGGUAGCGAACGGG
rnacentral:rRNA from 1 species